rnacentral:lncRNA from 1 species
GAUCAAAUACUGGGGCAGUUCAUUUCCUCCCUAGUCCCUAGUGUACCAACAAAGUCGAGUAGUUUCCACCGCAGUGUUGUUUAUUCUCCGGCGACGCACAGUCGGGUCUCCGGUCUUCUUCACCCUUAAUGUACGGAAGAGAUUUCAUACAUUCAUUCAUCAAACGUGAACCCUAACCCUAAUUGGCUGCUUCGAACUAUGGAAUUGGAGGUACAUAAUCACAGUGCUGCUGCUGAAAAAAAGCUGAACCUCAUCCUAUUCAAGGUUUAUACCUUCAAAUUGAAGUUUCUCUAAUCACAAAUUGAUAAUAACAUGAUUUAUGUGUAUUCUUGAAUAUACUAUAAACCCUCAUGGUUCGGCCCUUCCUCAAAUCCCGCGCAUACCAGGAUCUUUAGUGCACCAAACUGCUUUUUUUUUUUUUUUUUAAUUUGUAUACAUGUUGAAUCUUUCUUGUGAUUUUUUAUUUUAUUUUAAAAUUAUGAUUGAGAAAUCCCUAGUGAGUUAGUUGUCCCAAUCUCAUUUGGCCCUUAAAGUUUGAAACUUGUGGGAGUUUAGGUCAGCUCCUUCAUUCUGCUCUCACUUAAAUGAUAGGCUUCAUGUCAGAGUCAAAGUUCGAACGUGUGCCUAAUCCACACAUACCACUCUCCGUUCUCAUUCUUUUUAUUGUUAUCAUCCCCCAUGGGAUAAGAUUUUACAUUGGGUUCUAGUUUCACUUGGAUUGUAGCUCCAGUUUGAACAAGUUUUAUGAUAAAGGAUGAUUUGCUUAGAAAUGAUAAAAACAAGGUGGUUCAAAAAUUGUUUCUAACUUUUAUUAGACUGAAUAAGUAUCAUUUUCAUAAUGCAACAACAUAUCCAGUGUACAAAGUGGGGUCUGGGGAGGGUAAAGUGUACACAGUCCAUGAUGAAGUAUAGAGGUUGUUUGCGAUAGACUUCUGGCUCAGGACCCAAAAAAAAAAUAAGUAUCAUUUUCAUGAAUAUUGUAAUUCACAUGUGUAUAAUUUUGAGGAGAUAAUUCACAGUUGUUGGAUUUGUCUUGUUAUUUUGUGAGCAUCAUUGCGAAAGUUCUGGAAUAGGAUAAAACCCUUCCCACAGAGAUGAUUUUAGAAGCUUGUUUUACUAGUAUUAGAAUCUAAUUGCAUUCUCAAAUAGUGUUAGAUUUUUAUUAAAGUAAAAUCUUUUGUAGCUAAUUAAUGUUUACCGAAGAAAAUUGUAAUGCAGAUAUCACUAACAGUAAUAUAGAAAUAUGAAAUAUAGUAUCUACUAUCUAAAGAAAAUUGCUGUUUGGUAGUUUAUGAUUUUAUCCCCUCUCUAUAGCUGCCUAGUGUUUCUUGAGUUUGAAUGGUUAGGAUGACAAGUAGCAAGUGGUAUGACCAUUCCGUCUAUAGAAAUUUGUGAAUGAAAUAAGUCAACAAAGAAAACAAAGUAUUCAAGCGAAACACACUAUUAGCCCUAAUACGUUGGGGUCCAAUAGUCCAUGAUCUUACAUUACCCUGUAGAAAAAAAAAGUUGGAGUGCAUGAUUAGUUAGCUCAAGCCAUUUAGCUUGGGAGCAGAUGUUAAUCACCAUUGUUCUGAAGCCUUCUUCUAAAAUGAAAGAUAGCUGAAUACCUCAGAACGUAACAUUCACAAUCAUCUCUUGGUUUGUGAUUACAAUUUUUUUCUUGUUGAAGUAAGAAAGUUUGUAUAAUAGGCACCGAGGAGAUGCAAUACGUACAAAAGAGGGAAGGAGGGGUCAGCUUGGUAAAAAAGUGGGAAGCUAGAGCAAAAUAGUUGACAAAAUCCAGAAAGCUAGUAUGGCAUUCUACAACAACAACAACAAACCCAGUAUAUUCCCACAUAGUGGGGUCUGGGGAGGGUAGAGUGUACGCAGUCCAUAUCACUACCUCUAAUGAGGUAGAGAGGCUGUUUCCAAUAGACCCCCGACUCAAGAUAAAAGGCAGUAUAAAAGGCAAUAUACAAAAAUAUCAAAAGCAUAGAACAUGAUAAAAUAACAUAGAUACGACAUCCACAAAAAAGUACAUUGCCAAACAAAGGACACCAUAAUUCCCCUACCUACUGACUACAACUCAACCACACCCUUAGCCCUCUAUCCUAAUGUUUUUCCUCCAUAUCUUCCUAUCCAGGGUCAUGUCCUCAGUCAGGGUCAUAUCCUCAGUCAGCUGUAACUGAUCCAUGUCACGCCUAAUCACUUCUCUCCAGCAUUUCUUCGGUCUACCCCUACCCCGCUUGAAACCUACCAAGGCCACCCCCCACACCUACGAACUGGGGCAUCCGUGCCCCUCCUAAUCACAUGACCAAACCAUCUCAACCUCAUUUCCCGCAUUUUAUCCUCCACUGAAACCACUCCCACCUUCUCCCGAAUAAUUUCAUUCCUAACCUUGUCUGGCCUUGUGAAUCCAAACAUCCAACACAACAUUCUCAUUUCCGCCACCUUCAACUUUUGGAUAUGAGAAUUCUUAACCGGCCAACACUCCGCUCCAUACAACAUAGCAGGCCGGACUGCUACUCUAUAGAAUUUGCCUUUAAGCUUGGAGGCACCUUUUUAUCGCAUAAAAUUCGCGAAGCGAGCCUUCAUUUCAUCCAACCUGCCCCAAUACGGUGAGAGACAUCCUCAUCUAUCUCUUCAUUCCCCAGAAUCAUAGACCCGAGAUACUUAAAACUAUCCCUCUGUCAAAGACAUGUAGCUUUAAGAGAGUGGUGAGGAGUUGAUAACCCAUCAAAACAUCUGCGAUUUCUCUUUGCCCAGACACACCAAAAUUUACAGGCAACUGGCAAGGAUCAUCUGCCAGACUUAUGAAUUUGUCAACUUUUAUUCCAGACCAGCAUCUAUAGGCUUCUCUGAUACUGUGUGGAAAUGAAUUUGUGCCAAAUGUCUUCAGCAAGUGGACAAUGUAGAAAAAGAUGCCUAUUGGAGUCUAGUUGUUGGUGACACAUGUAACAUCUUUUGACCAACUGUAUCCUUCUUCAAUUCUUCUAUUGAGGUUGUCUAGUGUCAAACAUGAUUCAUGUAGGGGUAUCCUGAUGAAGCAGAUUAUCUUCGAAGGGAGCUUUGUUUUUCAGAUGUAUUUCCAGGGCCAUUUGUGAUUUUCAUUAGUGGAGCAAAAAUGGGCGUAACCUGCCUUCUCAGAGUAGGGACCAUUCAUCUACUUAAUGCUAUUAACAAUACUUCUCUAGUGUGCUUUGUGGACAAUUACAAUGAAGUGGGGUUUACACUGUGCGCACCCGAAGGGUAGCUGCUGUGGGUUCCCUUGUCAACCAAAAAAAAAAAAAAGCAACCCAAUCUAAAAAUGAAGAUGGAUUAUGAUCCCAGGUUGUAUUUGAUGGACUAUCUGGAGGGAAUGGAGUCUAAGAUGCUUUGAAGAAAAGAGCAACCCAAUCCAGAAGACAAAGCUUAAUUGUAUUUUGCUUUUUCACUUUUGGUGUAAACAAGAGUACAUAGAGAAUGUUGAGACUCUAAUGCAGUUGUUAGAGUCUCUAUAGAUCUUCUUGAUUAGAUUAGCUUGCUCUCAUUCCUUGUAAUUUUGGCUUAUCAGUCCUUUUUGAUUAAUACAAUAUGUUACCUAUCAAAAAAAAAUGUCUUGACUAACUGACUAAUUACACCCUGGGUGUAUAUGACUAUAUCUAUUUUACAGAAACAUGAGAACACAGCUGCUGAGUAUGUGACACAAAAAAUUAAAAUAAACCUAGUAUUACCUCACAUUGCAAUAGCAGAUGGGUGAUGCUUUCUUUUUGUUUCUUCACAUAAUGGAUACUAGCACUUGAUGAUCAUCUUCCUUGUUCAAUUCCUUCAAAUAAUCUCCUAUUUCUCUCACUCCAAAUAACCCACAACAGUGCUACUGGUGCAACCUUCCAAGACCUGGGACUACUCCCCCCCCUCCCCCCUCUUGUAACCCCAGAUAUGCAAUGCCUCCUUCACUGUUUAUGCUUUCUUUUUGUUUCUUCACAUAAUGGAUACUAGCUCUUGAUGGUCAUCCUCCUUGUUCAAUCCCUUCAAAUGCUCUCGUAUUUCUUUGACUCCAAAUAACCCACAACAGUGCUAGUGGUGCAACCUUCCAAGACCUAGGACUCCUUUUCCCCCUCUUUUUUUUUCUUGGAAAUUGGUAACUGUUUCUAUUUCUAAAAAUCAGUACUUAGGUUGUACUGAAAACCAUAUUUACAUAAGGAACUCUAAAGAUGCUGUCCCAUCCCUAUAAUGUGUCUUAAGACAUCAAUGAUAGAGACAGUAUCGUUGGAGUAUGCCUGAUUACACCAAAAAUUCAAAGUCAAGAUAUAAUUUAGUUUGAUUGCUGCAUAUUACUCUCCCCAGUCUCAAAAACUUUGAGAUUCCACUCUUUCACUAUAGUCCACCAAAUAGCAGGAACGAUUCUCCAGUUGCUUCUAUUCUUCGCUUGUAAUCCUGCCUCAUCCCAACUGUAUAGAGCCUCUGAAAUUCUACCAGGCAUGGACCAGGAGAUGCUUUUAAGCCUUAGGAAUAAACUCCACAGUUGGCCGGUGACCUUGCAUUGGAUGAACAAGGGAUUGACUGUUUCUGCAGUUUCCCCACAUAAAAACAUCUAGGGCAUAGUGGGAUCCCCCUCUUCAUCAAAUUCUCCUGUGUCGACACACCUUUUUUAGCCAGUAACCAUACAAAAUAUGCCACUUUGUGUGGGAUCUUCGCUUUCCAUAUGUGUUUCCAAGGCCAAUUGGGUGCCUGCAGAUUUGAGUGAUUCAGCUUCUGUAUGCUCCACUUACUUUAAAUAUCCCUUUACUAUUCCCCAACCAUUGCAAUCUGUCCUGACCUAUCCCUAAACCACUAAAAUGUUCUGUGAUGCUGAAAAAUUCUGUUACUCUUGGAAUUUCCCAGUCGUUUAAGUGCCUCCUGAAUACAAAAUUCCACCCUUGAGGAGUCCAUAGUUCAGCUAUAGCACUUUGCUGUCGAAGUACCAAACUGUGAAUAUCAGGGAAGAGUGUCCAGAUUUCCUGCUUCAUGCCAAUCAUCCUUCUAAAAUCUAGUUUUAGUACCAUCUACCACUUCAAUCUUGAUGUUAGAUUUGAAUUCAUUCCAUAAAAUCUAAUGGACUUCCAUAAGCUAACACCAUAAGGAGUGGUAACUUCCUUUGUCAUCCAACUAUCAGCCUCUUCGUAUUUUGCUUUAAUGACUGUGCCCCAUAAAUUCUGAUUAUCAUUUGAGUACUUCCAAAGCCACUUCAUCCUCAAAGCCUGCUUUGAUUCUUCAGAUUCUUGAUCCCCAAACCCCUAACUCUCUUUUCAUUAGUCACUGUUUUCCAUUUGACUAAGUGGUACCCCCUCUUUUCUUUGUUCCCUUGCCAUAUAAAUUUUUUCCUGAUGCUAUCCAACCUAUUGAUGAUUCCUGUUGGGAUGAGAAAUAAAGACAUUAUGUAUUUUGGAAGUGCAUCAAGAACAGAGUUAAUUAGAGUCAAUCUUCCACCCAACGAGAGAUAUUGAGACUUCCACCUUGCUAGCUUCUUCUCACACUUCUCAAUCACCCCAUUCCAGAUUUCCGCAUUUUUGCAGUCUUGGAUUUGGCCCCCAAAGGCAUACCCAAGUAAGUAGCUGGGAAAGUACCCACUUCACCCCAAGAAUUAACUUCAAAGUUUCCAUGGUUGGCACUUUAUUGACUGGAUAUAGGAAGCUUUUCUUCCAGUUGACAUGUAGCCAAGACAUUCCUCCAAAAAAUAACCAGAAUUAUUCUUAGGAUCUUGAGUUGGUCCUCUUCAGCAUCACAGAAGAUCAAGGUAUCAUCUGCAUAUUGGAGAUGGGUUAUCUCUAGACUUGCCCUUCUAGCUCUAGCAACCUGAAAACUUCUUAACCACCCUUUUCUGCUUGUAUUCUUGAUCAAAUUGUUGAGUCCCUCCAUAACUAAUAUAGAAAGGAAAGGUGAUAGAGGAUCCUUGCCUUGGGCCCCUUUGUGCACUAAAGAAACCUGCUGGAGAUCCAUUUAUCAACACUAAGAAACUCACCGAAGAAAUGCAGAAUUUAAUCCACUGUCUCCAUUUGAGGCCACUGUCUCCUCUUGUAACCCCAAAUAUGCAAUGCCUCCUUCACUGUUCUUGGCGUCAUCUAUCGCACCCCAAACCGAUUAAGAACCACUCUCCAAAGGCGGUUAGCCACAUGACAAUGCAAUAAAAGAUGAUCCACACCAUCACUCAACCUCUUGCACAUAAAAAACCAUUUAACACUUACUUUGCUCAUUGCUCAAUGUAUGAUAUGACUAAGCGGGAACCUGAACCUCCACUCUCAGACAUUUUCAUGCCUAGAUUCUCU